ACUUCCACCACAGAAAAUUCUACAUUUAAUGCUAAACUCUGCUACUACAGCUACCAUCAACACAAUUAAAAAUAAGCAUAUAAAAAAGCCAAUAAGAGAACCUCUAAGUGGUUAUAUGACCUGCUAGAUGUAGCAGCCAAACCUCUCAAAUCACACUUUCCUUUCUUAAAAAUGGAAGGAAUACAUUGUUCGGUACUACCAUCAAAAACGAUGGGGGUUGUCAUUAUUGGAAUAAUGCUUUUGAUCAGAGGUUUGCUUUAUCAGGAUUAACUUGGAACUAAACCAUAACAACAACAAUCAAGACAAAUAACACUUGAUUAGACCCCUAAAUGAAAGGACUUAUUUAUUGAUUAUUUACAAGACAUAUAAACAUUACAGUCUGUAGAUCUUAAUGUAAAGCUAGAAAUCAAUAAAUUCAAUGUAUCUGUAAACUAGGAGGUUUAAUGAUACCACAGCAGUAGUUUUGCCUUUUACUACUUACAAAUUUACUUACUCAAUUAUUUUACCAAGUAUGAGCAUGGGAACGGAUCAAUGAAUAAUUAAACAGUAAGAGUAAUAGCAGUAUUAGUAGAAAGUUUAAGGAGUAAUGCGGGUAACAGACACGAAAACAAAACCGAAACAAAACACUCGUGUUGAAAAGCUCACACCGUGUACACACAAACAAGUCAAACUAUGAAAGAUUGACGUCAUUGCAACAGAAAAACCAAGCAAACACAAGCAGAAUAUCUAGCAGUACCCACCUCCAAGGCGUUUGGGAGGGAGAGUGAUAGGUUAGCAUACAAGAUCAUCAAGUAAUUAUAUUUUAGAGAUUAAAAAGAAGGUAGUGAGAGAGAUAGAAGGGGAGAGAGAAAUAGAAAGAGAGAGAGAGAGAGAUCGUAAGUACGUGUGAAAAAAAGAAAGGAAAAUAGGAAGAAAACAAAAGUUGGAAUGAAAAACAGAAAAAGUAAACAAAAGGCUAACAAUGGAAAAAAAACGUAAAACAAAGAUGGAGUUGGAUGGUGUUUAUUUGAGGCAGAUUUUCUAUGGCCAGUUGCCUUUCCUGUCACCAACACUUACCAGUUUCCAAGGAAAGUAAUAUUUCCCCAUUGCCAAACAUGUUCUCACAGAAUAUUGGAAAUGAAUGACACUGCUUAUAUGACAGUGACACUCAUUUACAGCUAUCAUGCAAUGUCAAGACAAAGAGACACAAAUACACACACAUAUAGACAAACAUAUAUACAAUAGGCUUCUUUCUGUUUUUGUCUACCAGUCAGCUAAAUCCACUGACAUGGCUUUGGUCAGUCCAGGUCUACUGUAAAAGACACUUGUCUGAAGUGCUAAGCAGUGGGACUGAACCUGGAACCAGUGAUUGGGAAACAAGCUUCUUAUCACACAGCCAAACCUGCAACCAUAUAUGCAAUGCAAAAAGAGGGAUAGCAAUAAUGGAGAGAGAGAGAGAGAGAGUAGAGAGGGAAAGAGAAAGAUUAAAAUAUUCCUUUCCUCUUCACGUUAUCUGAAAUAAAUUAAUAAAUUUGAAUAAAUUUAUAUUGUAUAGAGAAACUAGUACAUUCAGGUUUUUGGUAAAACUUCAUUAACUUUUAGUGUUGUACUUGUCAAACAAGUAACUUGAUUUGAAAUGGUGAGUUGAAAGUGAAACAUUUUCAUCAUUGAAGAGCAAGUUUUGCAAUCUUUUAACUCACAAAAUCUGUCAGAUUCACUUUCCAUGUAUUUUUUUAAAUAACAAAAUAUUUGUCACUGGCUUAAUUCUACUCUUACUAACUAGCUUUACAAAAUGGUUAUAGGCUAGGAAUUUUAAGAACUUUGUAAUAAGUAACAAAAAAUCAAAAUGAGAAUUAAAUAUGCACAAGUAUAGUUGUGUGGUAAGAAGUUUGCUUCCCAGCUACAUGGUUCUGAGGUCAGUCUGACUGUGUAACACACCGGACAAGUGACUUUUACUAUAGCCUCGGCCUGACUAAAGCCUUGUGAGUGGAUUUGGUAGACAGAAAAUGAAAGAAGCCUGUUGCAUAUAUAUAUACACAUACAUUAGGAGUCCACUUAGCCCGGCCUAAUUGAUAUUUGAAACCAAAUCUACACACUUGUUCCUUGUCAGACAACUAUCUGAUUCCUUUCAGUUUUAUUUCCACACUGGGUGAUUAAUGAGAAACACCUGACCCCCAGAGACCAUUGCUAGUCAUGGAAGGCUCAGUCUGUUGAUUUAGGUUUUAUUUAUUUCUGGGCCAUACCUAUAUAACUGAGACAAUCUCUCUCUCUCUAUCUCUCUCUCUCUCUCUCUCUCUCUUUGGUUGACAAACCUCCAACUGGGAGCAAUUAGCUUCUUGCACAGCAUAGCAUCAGCUGAAUGGAAAGGAACAACGUAAACCUUUCUUCCUCUCUGUCAGCUGAAUGCACAAAUCACACACUGCCAACUACCAGCAAGUCAUCAACACAUCAUUGCUAUUGUCAAUUACAACUAUGAAUAUUUGAUAUUUAACAUAGGUGCAGGAGUGGCUGUGUGGUAAGUAGCUUGCUACAUGGUUCCGGGUUCAGUCUCACUGCGUGGCAUCUUGGACAAAUGUCUUCUACUAUAGCCUCGGGCCGACCAAAGCCUUGUGAGUGGAUUUGGUAGACGGAAACUGAAAGAAGCCUGUCAUAUAUGUGUGUGUGUGUAUAUAUAUAUUUUUUUUUUUUUUUGUGUGUGUGUGUGUGUGUGUUUGUGUGAUGUGUCUGUGUUUGUACCCCUAGCAUUGCUUGACAACCGAUGCUGGUGUGUUUAUGUCCACGUCACUUAGCGGUUCGGCCAAAGAGACCGAUAGAAUAAGUACUAGGCUUACAAAGAAUAAGUCCCGGGGUUGACUUGCUCAACUAAAGGCAGUGCUCCAGCAUGGCUGCAGUCAAAUGACUGAAACAAGUAAAAGAGUAACCACUGUUGGCAAAUAAAUUUGUGAAUGUUA